rnacentral:rRNA from 1 species
CUCGAGGGCCUUCGGAAAGGAGAGAGGGUUGUAGCUGGCUUAAGCAUGUGCACGCCCU